AUUCACGUUUCUAAAAUUAUCUACCUAGUCUACUUUACAAAAAGUCUCCUAAUAAGACCAAAAUUAUUAAUGCCUAGACUAAUAAUAGUCAAAAGCCUAUACAAAAGGUUUCAAUAUUUUACGUAAAGCAAAUUGUGAAAGUUUACAUGUCGCUUUCACAAUUUAAUAACUUGUCUUCUAUUAUUACUCCGCUGAUAUCUUCUCGUUGUCGUAUCUGCUGCUUUUCCAUAUCUCCAUUAUUUCUUUUUAUCUUGU
rnacentral:lncRNA from 1 species